AGCCCGGGGGCGGGUAAACGCUGCGGCCGCCCCUCUGGGCAGAGCUCCCGUCGGCAGGGGCCGUGGUCCGGCGGGGUUGGGCUGCCGCUCUUCUGACGGGAGCGCAGCUGUAAUGCCGGUUCUCCGGCGGCAACACCAUUUAAAUGGAUAAUUGACACGGAGUAACGUGGAAGAGUGCCGAUACCGACAACCGUCUGCCUAAGGCUGGCGCAGCGAGCUCGGCUGCGCGCCCCGGAACGCGAGGAAUCACUAAUCCUGAAGAAUGCUAUUAUAGUACAGAGUUGAAAUUACAAACAUGGAACUGAAGAAUCCUGCUUUUUAACACCAACUCAGAAGCCUGGAUUAUUGAAGAGCACUCCACAACAGCAGGAAGAAAAC